rnacentral:rRNA from 1 species
UGGGGAAUAUUGCACAAUGGGCGCAAGCCUGAUGCAGCCAUGCCGCGUGUGUGAAGAAGGCCUUCGGGUUGUAAAGCACUUUCAGCGGGGAGGAAGGCGUUAAGGUUAAUAACCUUGGCGACUGAUGAUACCCGCCGAAGAAGCACGGGCCAACUCGGUGCCAGCAGCCGCGGUAAUACGGGGGGUGCAAGCGUUAAUUGGAAUUACUGGGCGUAAAGCGCACGCAGGCGGUCUGUCAAGUCGGAUGUGAAAUCCCCGGGCUCAACCUGGGAACUGCAUUCGAAACUGGCAGGCUAGAGUCUUGUAGAGGGGGGUAGAAUUCCAGGUGUAGCGGUGAAAUGCGUAGAGAUCAGGAGGAAUACCGGUGGCGAAGGCGGCCCCCUGGACAAAGACUGACGCUCAGGUGCGAAAGCGUGGGGAGCAAACAGG